rnacentral:rRNA from 1 species
GGUUAAGUCCGCACGAGCGCAACCCUUGUCCUUAGUUACCAUCAUUAAGUUGGGGACUCUAAGGAGACUGCCGGUGAUAAACCGGAGGAAGGUGGGGACGACGUCAAGUCAUCAUGGCCCUUAUGACCGGGGCUACACACGUACUACAAUGGUCGGUACAGACGGUCGCAAGCUCGCGAGAGUAAGCUAAUCCGAGAAAACCGAUCGUAGUCCGGAUCGCAGUCUGCAACUCGACUGCGUGAAGUCGGAAUCGCUAGUAAUCGCAAAUCAGAAUGUUGCGGUGAAUACGUUCCCGGACCUU